CUAAGAGCCAACGGUGGAUGCCUUGGCACUAGGAGCCGAUGAAGGACGUAGCAGGCUGCGAUAAGCCUCGGGAAGCUGCCAAGCAAGCGUUAUAACCGAGGAUGUCCUAAUGGGGAAACCCGGCUGGGGUCAUGCCCAGUCACUCCGGUCUGAACACAUAGGGCCGGUAGAGGCAACCAGGGGAAUUGAAACAUCUCAGUACCCUGAGGAAAAGAAAGCAAUAGCGACUCCCUGAGUAGCGGCGAGCGAAACGGGAAGAGUCUAAACCUAUGCAGUGUGAUAGCCCGGUGGUGUUGCUGUAUAGGGGUUGUGGGACCCAUGUCUCCUGCGCACCGGCGCGGAGCUGAAGUUACCAAGUCGGCGGUUAGCUGAACACAGCUGGAAAGCUGGGCCAUAGGGGGUAAUAGCCCCGUAAGCGAAAACCGACCGACCUUCAGAUUGGUGUUCCCAAGUAUCACGGAGGAGAUUCCGUGUGAAUCUGCGAGAACCACCUCGUAAGACUAAGUACUACCUAGUGACCGAUAGUGAACUAGUACCGUGAGGGAAAGGUGAAAAGAACCCCGGCGAGGGGAGUGAAAUAGUACCUGAAACCGAUGGCUUACAAGCAGUGGGAGGACGUUUUCGAACGUCUGACCGCCUGCCUUUUGAAGAAUGAGCCGGCGAGUUACCGGUAUGUGGCGAGGUUAAGGCGUUAGCCGUAGCCGAAGCGAAAGCAAGUCUGAAUAGGGCGUCUAGUCGCGUGCCGUAGACCCGAAGCCGAGUGAGCUAUCCAUGGGCAGGGUGAAGCGAGGGUAAGACCUCGUGGAGGCCCGAACCCACCAAGGUUGAAAACUUGGGGGAUGACCUGUGGAUAGGGGUGAAAGGCCAAACAAACUCGGCGAUAGCUGGUUCUCCCCGAAAUAGCUUUAGGGCUAGCGUUGUAUGUUCCGCAUUGGGGGUAGAGCACUGAUUGGAUAAGGGGGCCUACAAGCUUACCAACUUCAGUCAAACUCCGAAUCUCAAUGCGCCAAAUACAGCAGUCAGACUACGAGAGAUAAGUUCCGUGGUCGCGAGGGCAACAGCCCAGAUCGCCAGCUAAGGCCCCUAAGUGUGUGCUAAGUGGGAAACGAUGUGGAGUUGCUCAAACAGCCAGGAUGUUGGCUUAGAAGCAGCCAUUCAUUUAAAGAGUGCGUAACAGCUCACUGGUCGAGUGAUUCCGCGCGGAAAAUGUAACGGGGCUCAAGCACACCGCCGAAGCUGCGGGAUUCAGCGAUUUAUCGCUGGAUCGGUAGGGGAGCGUCGUGUUGCCGUCGAAGCGGUGGCGUAAGCCAACCGUGGAGGCUUCACGAGUGCGAAUGCCGGCAUGAGUAGCGAAUGGAGAGUGAGAAUCUCUUCCGCCGAAUGUCCAAGGGUUCCUGGGGAAGGCUCGUCCGCCCAGGGUUAGUCGGGACCUAAGGUGAGGCCGAGAGGCGUAAUCGAUGGAUAACCGGUUGAUAUUCCGGUACCACUCUAUGAGCGCCCAGGCCGAAUCUGGUUUGCUAAGGAAAGCCCUUCGGGGCCUACCGACCCAACCAGUAGUAGGUCAGCGAUGGAGUGACGGGGAAGGCUAGACGGACCCGGGCGAUGGUAGUUCCCGGGGUAAGCGUGUAAGGCGAGAUCCAGGCAAAUCCGGAUCUCAUUAAGUCUGAGGCGUGAUGCCGAGCCGAUUAAGGCGAAGCCGUUGAAGCCAUACCUCCAAGAAAAACUUCUAGCGAGCACAUAGGGUGCCCGUACCCCAAACCGACACAGGUGGACAGGUAGAGAAUACCAAGGCGAGCGAGAUAACUCUGGUUAAGGAACUCGGCAAAAUAGUUCCGUAACUUCGGGAGAAGGAACGCCCCAGUAAAGUGGAAAGACUACGCGUCUCAAGCUUGAGGGGGCCGCAGAAACCAGACCCAAGCGACUGUUUACCAAAAACACAGCAGGGUGCUAAGUCGCAAGACGAUGUAUACCCUGUGACGCCUGCCCGGUGCUGGAAGGUCAAGUGGAUGGGUUAGCUUCGGCGAAGCUUUGAAACCAAGCCCCAGUAAACGGCGGCCGUAAAUGAGUUGCGGCUCCAGAGGAGUAAUCCUCUGUGAACAAACCUUGCUAUAUGCUGGAAACACCGAGUAUCCGGUAGUACUCGUUCAUGUCACACCCUCUCCGUAGGGUCGAAGACAUGAGCAGUGAAAAUCUAUCCGGUGCGGUCAAUCAGCAGGAAAGGCCCAGAUCACUGAGUUGAGCUCAGCUUCGACGAAGAGCUCAGUUCGUUAGGUGGUGUGGGAAUCCUCAGAGGCCAUACGCAGGGCUCCCUUGAAAGCAAAGGGAUGAAGAUAUGGUCCAUACCUCAUGGCGACAUGGGGAGUUAUAUGAACUAUAACGGUCCUAAGGUAGAAGACCUCUUAAGGAAUGAGGCGCUGCCCCUCUCAUUGGCAACAAUGGUGAGUGCAGCUGGCUAUAUGCUGGAAACUCCGAGCAUCUAGUGGUACUAGCUCCUCUUUGGAGCAGUGAAAAUCCAUCUAGUGCGGACAAUCAGCAGGAAAGACUCGGUGCAAAUCGAGAAUCCUCAGAGACCAUACGCCAGCCAUCUCCUAGCGGAGAUGAAGAUAUGGUCCGAACCCCAUGGCGACAUGGGGAGGUUGACAGAAAUGAUCAGCCCACCUGUCGAGAAUUCGUGCCCUCGAUAUAGGUAACAAGUAACACAGACCGAGCGAAAUUCCUUGUCGGGUAAGUUCCGACCUGCACGAAUGGCGUAACGACUUGGGUACUGUCUCAACCAGAGACUCGGCGAAAUUGCAGUGUGAGUAAAGAUGCUCACUACCUGCGGCAGGACGGAAAGACCCCGGAACCUUUACUGUAGCUUGACAUUGGUGUCUGGCAUGUGAUGUGCAGGAUAGGUGGGAGGCUUUGAAGCGGAGGCGCAAGCUUUCGUGGAGCCAACCUUGAAAUACCACCCUUCUCAUGACGGCCAUCUAACUUCGGUCCGUAAUCCGGAUCAGGGACAGUGUCUGGCGGGCAGUUUCACUGGGGCGGUGGCCUCCUAAAGAGUAACGGAGGCGCCCAAAGGUCCCCUCAGUCUGGUCGGCAAUCAGACGGCGAGUGUAAAUGCACAAGGGGGCUUGACUGCGAGACCUACAGGUCGAGCAGGGACGAAAGUCGGGAUUAGUGAUCCCAUGGUGGCACGUGGGUGCGCCAUGGCUCAACGGCUAAAAGGUACUCCGGGGAUAACAGGCUUAUACCCCCCAAGAGUCCAUAUCGACGGGGGUGUUUGGCACCUCGAUGUCGGCUCGUCGCAUCCUGGGGCUGGAGCAGGUCCCAAGGGUCGGGCUGUUCGCCCGUUAAAGCGGCACGCGAGCUGGGUUCAGAACGUCGUGAGACAGUUCGGUCCCUAUCCGCCGCAGGCGCAGGAAAUUUGAUGGGAGCUGCCCCUAGUACGAGAGGACCGGGGUGGACGAACCUCUGGUGUGCGAGUUGUCCUGCCAAGGGCACGGCUCGUUGGCUAUGUUCGGAAGGGAUAAGCGCUGAAGGCAUCUAAGUGCGAAGCCCACCCAAAGAUGAGAUUUCCCACCCGUAAGGGUUAAGGCCCCUGGUAGAUGACCAGGUUGAUAGGCCGGACGUGUAAGCACAGCAAUGUGUUCAGCGGACCGGUACUAAUAGGCCGAGGGCUUGGAUA
rnacentral:rRNA from 1 species